AUGGAGGGGAGGAUUGGGGCCCCCCAGGCACACAGAGCUGCCUGUGGAUGGGGACAUCCUCUCUCACGUGAGCUGAAAAUUCUCCUUGCUACAAAAAGGAUUGCAGAGAAUGAAGAAACACCAGAUAUGAUUUCAAGCCAUUGGGGUGCUGAUGUGGAUACCGAUGGGCUCCUGCACCUCUUUAGCCAGACAGAUCUGUUAACACCGGAUUUCUGCUACAAUUAUAAAACAUCAUUGGAGACAAGCUGGAUGGGAAAGAACCUCUCCAAAUCAUUCCUGAGUGAUAAUAUGAGAACAUCCAGCCCGAAAGAAAAAUUUGGACCACUCAGUAAUUGCAGAGAUUGAGACAAGGAUCAGAGAGGAGCAGGUCGAAACAACAGCAACAAAAACAACCAAAGAAGUGGAAAGGAUUGAGCUAGAGGUUCAGAGUUGUAUGUUCCACACCAUUAUGCCGGCAAAGGACAAGGAAAAAACCACUGGACUGAAUUUGUUAAAAUUGUGUCUUGUUUGUUUACACGCCAGAUAGUAUGUUUGGAGAUUUUUUCAAAGGUAUUUUUUGUUCAUUUUGCCUUGAUUCAGUUCCAACACUGGAAAUUAAACUCAGCCCAUUUACUUGUUCUGAGCGUGUUUAGCAAAAUACUUCCCUUUCACAAACUCGUCCUACAUCCUUGCUCAGAGAAGGUGAAAGUCUUCCCUGAUCCCAAGAUCUUGUAUUCGCACAGUGUUCUGAGGGGAUAAACACAGCCUUGUAAGUUUUCAUUGUUUCUACUUCCUGGAUGAAGGAAAGCUGAUUGCUUAAGUUAGUGAUUGAAUAUUAGAUUAUGGGUCUUCAAUCCUUGUCCAAUCACCAGUUUCCCACCACAAUGCUUUCUUUCUCUGUACUGGAUAUAUCUUUUAAGAUUAAUACCAAUAUUGGCCAGAGAGGUCUGGUUGCUAUUGUGGGGGACUGGAAUUGGUCACCCCAAGAUAUGUCUCUUUGGCAGGAGGAUUAUUUUGGGCUGGUUACUUUUAAAAACUGCAGACAUGAGAGAAACUCUGAAAAGUAGAAUUUACUUACCCUUUGUAAGAGACAUCUGCAUUUGUAAAGGAAAUCUCCAUUUCUAAAGGUGUCUCCUUCUCUAUACCAGGAAGAAGGGGGGAUGACCUUAUCUCUAGAAACUCUUAUCAAUGCAGAAGGCAAGGACUUAAAUCUGCUUAAUAUCCUUACUCUUGUUUACUGUUCUUUUCUGGGAACCUCCCAUAACUGACUCCUCCCACUCCCAACAUCCUCCUUUGUCUUCAGCUGAGGAUGGUAUUUAAGAGGAGAGCUUCCACCAUUUUGGUGAGUUGCUCAGUUUUCCUGAAU
rnacentral:lncRNA from 1 species